UCUAAAGAUCUGACAGCUCAGUGAAGAUAUUUGACCGACAUGGACAGAGGAAGAAUGAACUAAAUCUACCUGGGCGUUGUGUCGGGAUGGACUGGGAUAAGGACGGAGACAUCUUGGCAGUGAUCUCUGACAAGUCCAGCUCCGUUUACCUCUGGGACGCUAACGUCAACAAGACCUCCCAGAUAGACAGCGGCAUGAGAGACCAGAUGUCAUUCAUCCUGUGGUCGAAGGCUGGGCCCCUAUUGGCUGUCGGGACCAACAAAGGAAACCUGCUGAUCUACAACCAACAGACGUCACGCAAG